rnacentral:rRNA from 1 species
AUUGAACGCUGGCGGCAUGCCUUACACAUGCAAGUCGAACGGCAGCACGGGUGCUUGCACCUGGUGGCGAGUGGCGAACGGGUGAGUAAUACAUCGGAACGUACCUUAUCGUGGGGGAUAACGCAGCGAAAGCUGUGCUAAUACCGCAUACGCCCUGAGGUGGAAAGCGGGGGAUAGCAAGACCUCGCGCGAUUAGAGAGGCCGAUGCCUGGUUAGCUAGUUGGUGUGGUAAAAGCCCACCAAGGCGACGAUCAGUAGCUGGUCUGAGAGGACGAUCAGCCACACUGGGACUGAGACACGGCCCAGACUCCUACGGGAGGCAGCAGUGGGGAAUUUUGGACAAUGGGGGCAACCCUGAUCCAGCAAUGCCGCGUGAGUGAAGAAGGCCUUCGGGUUGUAAAGCUCUUUUGUCAGGGAAGAAACACCGGCUCUAACACAGUCCGGGAAUGACGGUACCUGAAGAAUAAGCACCGGCUAACUACGUGCCAGCCGCCGCGGUAA